AAACGUUGUUUAGAGCACACUUUGCUUGUAUCAUUGAAAAACUUAAAAUAAUAAACUUAAAACUAUGUUAAAUAUGUAUCUUUAAUAAAAAACAAAGUUCUUUAACAAAUCAAUAGCCAGAUUGACACAAGAGCCUCUUGUCCCUCGCCCACUGCAGCUCCCAGACCUCCUGGAUGGGGUGCCAAGCAGUCAGGGUCGGGCCAUCACCUUUUCAUAGGAACCACAUCCAGCAGGAAGAGAGGAUGGGUCCAAAACGUAUGUUAAGUCCAGUUCUCCUGCACAGCAACACUCUCUCUUGCAAACGCCUGUCCCUUGGAUUUGAGCAGGAAAGAGCACUGCCAGAAGAGUGAUGUUCUCUCCUUCUGCCACACUCAGGCACAAGACACAGCUCUACCAGCCACAGAAGCAGAAGCUCUACUCUAGGUUUCCUUUCAGUCAGUGAAAGAAACUGAGGUCAGUAAAUAUUAAUUUUCUUUACAGCUUUCCAGCUCUAGCAAGUGCCAGUUCUCUCUGCCUCUUGGAGCUACCACACCAGAGAAUUGCAAGACUUUCCAUUUCUAUGCGUUCUUUGUGUGUACUUCACUUCUGUGUGUUACCCAUGUAGUUGUUUGAUGGUUUGCAAGCUGCUGUCAGGAGGUAAAGGAUACGCCAUGGACAUCAUAAAUCUGAGACAAUGGAUUUAAUUUGCUCUCUAGCGCUGCCUCUUUACCCCACUGGCACUUCCCAGAUGCUCUUUAGGCAAAGCCCAGGACAGCCUGAGGUUGAGCAGGAUGAAGGCAGGUACCUGGGCCACCUGUAGAAUACCCAUAGGUUACACUGAAGGCAGAACCACAUGUACUCUCUGACAUCAGCAAGCUUUCUUUUUCUGAUGCCAGAUGACCACAAGUGAAAGCCCUCAGCAGCUGCCAAGCCAGAGGCUGCCCCAGCCCCUGCCCAGCUGCCAUCCUGCUGCCUGCACAUGGCCUACGCAGCCUCCCUGGCACCCAGAGGAUGCCGUAGGCAUUUCAGCCUCCUGCCACAGUCCAGCACCACGCUUUGCCCUGUAGAACAAGUGACCAUGUGCCUUGGCUGUUCCUGGUUACCAACACAAACAAAAAGGAAAGACUGCUUCAUUCUCUCUGCCUCCCAUUACUAUAGGUGUUUGUGGGGUGUGUGCAGCUGUGUGAUCUGUGCCAGGCCUCCAGCCAUCUGUCUGAGGCACCUACAGACCAGAGCAUCGCAACAAUGCAAAACAUUCGUGCUGCCCUGAGAAGUGACCUGGACGCAGUCAGCAGGGCACCUCUGCAGAGGUAAGUGCUGACAGGGGGGAGGAAGCAGCAAGAGAACAGGAAGGUGAGUGCAGUCAGCAGGGCUGAAGCGCGUCCCCAGGCAGGUGCUGGACACAAAGGUGCCUGCAGCUCCCCAGGCACACAGCACUCAGCCCCAUGCUGUUUAGCAGCCCUUCUCUUGGAGAACCAAUUGAGCAAAGCACCCAGCAAAUGCGGAUAAUGGAAGGUAAAUGCUGACUUUGGGUUUGCUGCCUCAGCCAUAUGUUUUAAUUACCAGAUGCUGAUUACAAUUUAACCACCAGGCUAUGUCAGAGAUGCCUUGAAUUGUUUCCUUAUUUAAUUUGCAGGGGUUGAUGCAGCCGCAGCACAGACACUAAAGGAAAGAUAUCACAUCUAAAAGUUGUCCAAAAUCACAGAAAACUGGUUUAAUUUGCUCCAUGAUUGUUCCAGGUUUUGAAGAUACAUAUAUAUAUAUAUAUGUAAGAUGCUCAAGAUGAUUUUCCCCAACAGUUGUGCUCAUUUUAACUUCUGAAACCAAGUUUAAAUUUAAAAAAUGACUGCCAUAUAAAUAGCUGGAUCUUUUUUCCACCAGGGUGUUAAUGGAUUCAUGUCUAUGGCUCCUUGAUUUGCAGAGCUUUUAAGCAACCAGUAGAAAUGCUGAGAGAUUUAAUCGGAAAGUAAUGUUCACAUGGCUGGUGACAUAUGCUAAGAAUAUUUUUCAAUAUCCACAGCUUGCGUAAAAUAAAAAGAAGUCUCAGGUUACUGGUUUUUUUUUUGUUGUUGUUGUUUUGUUUGUUUGUUUCUGUUGUUUGUUUUUCUUUCUACGGGCAACGUCAGGAUCUUCGUUCAGUAGAAGCAGAAAUGAAAAAAAGAGCACAAAGAAGACUGAAGGGAAGACCUGACAUUAUUAAAAAGACUGCCAGGGAAAGAGAAUUUGUAAAUAUAGAAUUCUGGAAAAACAAAACCAAAACUGAACAGCCCUUCUGCCUUUGCAUAUGUCUGAGCCGCCUGCACAGAAAGAGCAUAAACCGGCAUUGUCCCUACCAUGACAUUUUUAGAGCGGUACUGCAGUCCUGAGUAGGUUCUCCAGUGUAGCAAGUUCAAGGAGAAAAGUGAAAAAGGCAGAUGGACAAAGUUCUCUGUGAAGCCACACUACCCAGGAGACAACAGUAAAAUACAUUCAGUAUUUGGAAGUGAACUGACUACAAGCACAUUCACAACGAAGAAGACUUACAUUUACUGUUUUUCAAAGCAGCCAAGAAGAAAAGUCACCUUCCCUUACUCUAUCUCCUUUAUUUGAAAAAUAAAACCCCAGGUAGUCAGAGUUGUAGCACACAAAGAAAACACUCAUCUGUAUCGUUUAAGAUUUCUGUAUCAUAUUAUCUCAGGUCGGCUUAAGGCUCGUAACACAAUAUUGGGUUUUAUUGUAAAUGUACCCAUUAGUACACCAGUUGAGUGUUAAAGCUUGUAUGCUUUGUGUAGUGAUAUUUUUUCUAAUAAGCAAAUUCCUGGUGUGAGACGGGAUGUGUCUAAUCCAUAACAAAGCUGAUGGAGAGACAAUGGACUUCAGCCAGCUCAGUUCUGUUUCAAGGAAAAAGGACAAUAACUGCAUUUGACAUUUAUAAGAAUCCAAUUUCCUCGUGCUAUACAAAUGGAGCUCAUUACCCUCCAGACUGCUGGUUCCACCAAUUAUUGUAACUGAUGUGCUGGGAUUUUUCCUUCUCUAUAUUAGUAUUUGAUGCACUCUA